GACGAACGCUGGCGGCGUGCUUAACACAUGCAAGUCGAACGGAAAGGCCCUGCUUGCAGGGUACUCGAGUGGCGAACGGGUGAGUAACACGUGGGUGAUCUGCCCUGCACUUCGGGAUAAGCCUGGGAAACUGGGUCUAAUACCGGAUAGGAGCCAUUUUUAGUGUGAUGGUUGGAAAGUUUUUUCGGUGUAGGAUGAGCUCGCGGCCUAUCAGCUUGUUGGUGGGGUAAUGGCCUACCAAGGCGGCGACGGGUAGCCGGCCUGAGAGGGUGGACGGCCACACUGGGACUGAGGGACGGCCCAGGCGCCGAAGGGUGGCAGCAGGGGGGAAGACUGAACCAGGGGCGCAAGCCUGAUGCAGCGGCGCCGCGGGUGGGAUGACGGCCUUCGGGGUGUAAACUCCUUUCGCGAGGAACGAAGCUUUUUGUGACGGUACCGAAAGAAGAAGCACCGGCUAACUACGUG
rnacentral:rRNA from 1 species